UACGUAGGGUGCAAGCGUUGUCCGGAAUUAUUUGGGCGUAAAGAGCUCGUAGGCGGUUUGUCGCGUCGAAUGUGAAAACCCGGGGCUCAACCCCCGGGCCUGCAUUCGAUACGGGCAGACUAGAGUUCGGUAGGGGAGUCUGGAAUUCCUGGUGUAGCGGUGAAAUGCGCAGAUAUCAGGAGGAACACCGGUGGCGAAGGCGGGACUCUGGGCCGAUACUGACGCUGAGGGAAGCGAAAGGCGUGGG
rnacentral:rRNA from 1 species